ensembl:lncRNA
CACUCACCCACCCACCCCACCAACCUACCAACCACUCCCACCUGCGAGAUGCAGGGCGUGCAACGCCCCAUCAUCACCAUGUCGGGUUCUUCUUCUAUAAAGGGAUGUACUAUGUGUUGUGAGGACAGGGCUGUACCAUGUGUUGUAACCACGGGGUUGCUGCCUGCUCGGUGGGUUAUUUACCAACAUUAAAGAACAUUCCUCAAGGUGUGGUCAAGCACUACAAUGUGGUCACUUUCUCUCUCUCUCUCUCUCUCCCUCUCCCUCUCCCUCCCCUUUCCCCCUUUCUUUGUCUCUCGCCCUCCCUCUCGAAUCUUUUGUUGUUCACGUCCAAGUGCUUUUAGAAACCCUUCGUGGGCCUAUUGAACAACCCGAGUGUUGCACGUGCACUUUAUUUGUUUGCAACACUGCGUCAAAAGCCUCCAUCUUGGUUCUUGGUUCUCCUCAACUGUCCAUAUUUUUAGACACUUACAAAGGAACAUCUGGCAAUGAAGAAAGGGGACUUGUAAGAAUUGUCUUGGAAAAUGUGUUAUCGUAGAAAACGUAACAUCCAAUAAUUUUGAAGUCUAUGCUUUUUAUGUUGAGAUGGGGCAUUUUUGCAAAGCAGUGUGGGGAGAAUUCACCUUUUUUAUUAAGUCGAUAUACAAUGCAAGAUGGAAAUGAAUAUGGCAUUUUAUUUUUGAAAACCACUCCCUAUAGGCUUUGUGAGUGGAGCAAACACUAGGAUUAAAAUACUGACUCUAAACUACUGCUGUACCCCAAUCCCCCAAAAAUAGCUACGAUACUUGAUUCAUAAUUUGCUGCAUUUUUUGAUUCUUAUUUUUUUGGGAUAGAUCUUUUUUAUUGUACGUGUCUUUUUAUGUUCACUAAAAGAUUGUAUUGGCGUCAGUCACCAUGUUUGUUAACACUAUCGUGCCCUAGUCUGUUGCUCUGACCCCAUACCAUCUAUUUAUAUUUCAGAGGAAGCACUGAAUCAUAAUAAACUGUCAAGUAAAUAAACACA